GACGAACGCUGGCGGCGUGCCUAAUACAUGCAAGUUGAGCGAUGAAGCUUGGUGCUUGCACCAAUUUGAAGAGCAGCGAACGGGUGAGUAACGCGUGGGGAAUCUGCCUUUGAGCGGGGGACAACAUGUGGAAACGAAUGCUAAUACCGCAUAACAACUUUAAACAUAAGUUUUAAGUUUGAAAGAUGCAAUUGCAUCACUCAAAGAUGAUCCCGCGUUGUAUUAGCUAGUUGGUGAGGUAAAGGCUCACCAAGGCGAUGAUACAUAGCCGACCUGAGAGGGUGAUCGGCCACAUUGGGACUGAGACACGGCCCAAACUCCUACGGGAGGCAGCAGUAGGGAAUCUUCGGCAAUGGACGAAAGUCUGACCGAGCAACGCCGCGUGAGUGAAGAAGGUUUUCGGAUCGUAAAACUCUGUUGGUAGAGAAGAACGUUGGUGAGAGUGGAAAGCUCAUCAAGUGACGGUAACUACCCAGAAAGGGACGGCUAACUACGUG
rnacentral:rRNA from 1 species